CAGUAGCCGCGGUAAUACGGAGGGUGCAAGCGUUAAUCGGAAUUACUGGGCGUAAAGCGUGCGUAGGCGGUUAUUCAAGACAGAUGUGAAAUCCCCGGGCUCAACCUGGGAACUGCAUUUGUGACUGGAUGACUAGAGUACGGCAGAGGGGGAUGGAAUUCCGCGUGUAGCAGUGAAAUGCGUAGAGAUCGGGAGGAACAUCAGUGGCGAAGGCGGCCAUCUGGGACAACACUGACGCUGAAGCACGAAAGCGUGGGGAGCAAACAGGAUUAGAUACCCCAGUAGUCCCUGUCUCUUAUAC
rnacentral:rRNA from 1 species